rnacentral:misc_RNA from 1 species
AGAAAUAUUGAAAUAGUUAUUGCAUAAAGAUAAAUAAUAUAUUUAGCUUUUAUAUCUCGGCUAAGAAAAAAGAGCCAGAAAAAAGGAACAUAAUACAAUCGUACAUAUCUUAUUUAAAAAAAAUCAAUUUCUUACGUUACGUACGAGUACAUGUGUUGUUAAAAUCGUUAGUGUUAAAUAAUUUUUAUUCAUCCACUCAAUAAAAAAAAAAGUUUUUACACUUGUAGUAGAUUCAAACUGCUUUUUCAAAUAUUAAUUAAUUCAUUAAUUAAAUUUAACAAAAAAAUAUCUUGAGUAGACGUUGACGUAAAAAUUUAAGUUUCAUACAGGUAAAAAUUAACCAAAUAUAAUAUAUUUUUACAGGAACAUAAUAACAUUGAAAUGCGCGGACGAGAGUAAAAUGGCGAAAUUGCGAAAAAAAAACGGACGAAAAUAAAAGAAGCCGGAAAAAAAUGACAUUCUGUAGUAUAUCUGUCUCUCUGUCUGUUGUAUAUUCUGUAGUGUAUCAGCAUAAACACAAGAAAAACAUAUAUCUAAAUUUAAAUUUCAUACAGGUAAAAAUUAACCAAAUAUAAUAUAUUUUUACAGGAACAUAAUAACAUUGAAAUGCGCGGACGAGAGUAAAAUGGCGAAAUUGCGAAAAAAAAACGGACGAAAAUAAAAGAAGCCGGAAAAAAAAUGACAUUCUGUAGUAUAUCUGUCUCUCUGUCUGUUGUAUAUUCUGUAGUGUAUCAGCAUAAACACAAGAAAAACAUAUAUCUAAAUUUAAAUUUCAUACAGGUAAAAAUUAACCAAGUGUAAUAUUGUUACAGGAACAUAAUAAGAACAAAAUGCGCGUACGAGGAUCGAUAGAAGAUAGUUAGGUAGAUAGGUAGGAUUAGGUAGAUUAGGAAGAUAACCGUUUAAGGUAGAUAGUUAUUGACCAAAGCAGCAUUUCUUAGUCAACUUUUUUCUCCCAAAGACAUGCCAUUUUUUUUUUAAAUCUUUUUUUUUGUAACUAGAAAAAAAACCUCAGCUAUGCCUCUAUGCUCUCGUUUUUUUGUCAAUAUGCGUAAUUUUUUAAAUUAGUGUCUGAAAAUGUAUAAAAAUUAGACAAUAUUUCGAGUUUUCGAAGACUUUUGACUCCUUAUGAUAAUAAAAA